rnacentral:lncRNA from 1 species
CCCCGCCCAAAAAUGAAAAAUUCCCCUAUUUUUCGAAAAUGUUGAAUUCGUACUCCAAAAAGAAAAAGAUUCAAAAUUUCCAUUUAAAUAUAACAAUACAACAUACAAAAUAACAGGCACCUUUAAACUUCAUCGUCUAUUAAUUUCUCAUGUUUCACAGACAUGUAAAUACAAAUACAUAUGACCAAAUGCUAGUUUCUCUUUAACUUCAACAUUCAU